rnacentral:rRNA from 1 species
AUUGAACGCUGGCGGCAGGCCUAACACAUGCAAGUCGAGCGGAUGAAGGGAGCUUGCUCCUGGAUUCAGCGGCGGACGGGUGAGUAAUGCCUAGGAAUCUGCCUGGUAGUGGGGGAUAACGUCCGGAAACGGGCGCUAAUACCGCAUACGUCCUGAGGGAGAAAGUGGGGGAUCUUCGGACCUCACGCUAUCAGAUGAGCCUAGGUCGGAUUAGCUAGUUGGUGGGGUAAAGGCCUACCAAGGCGACGAUCCGUAACUGGUCUGAGAGGAUGAUCAGUCACAAUGGAACUGAGACACGGUCCAGACUCCUACGGGAGGCAGCAGUGGGGAAUAUUGGACAAUGGGCGAAAGCAUGAUCCAGCCAUGCCGCGUGUGUGAAGAAGGUCUUCGGAUUGUAAAGCACUUUAAGUUGGGAGGAAGGGCAGUAAGUUAAUACCUUGCUGUUUUGACGUUACCAACAGAAUAAGCACCGGCUAACUUCGUG